UACGUAGGGUGCGAGCGUUAAUCGGAAUUACUGGGCGUAAAGCGUGCGCAGGCGGUUCGUUGUGUCGGUGGUGAAAGCCCCGGGCUUAACCUGGGAAUGGCCAUGGAACUGGCGAACUGGAGUGUGGCAGAGGGGGUGGGAAUUCCGCGUGUAGCAGUGAAAUGCGUAGAUAUGCGGAGGAACACCGAUGGCGAACGGCAGUCCCCUGGGCCUGUACUGACGCUGAGGCGCGAAGGCGUGGGGAGCGAACGGG
rnacentral:rRNA from 1 species